rnacentral:rRNA from 1 species
CAGUAGCCGCGGUAACACGUAGGGUGCGAGCGUUAAUCGGAAUUACUGGGCGUAAAGCGUGCGCAGGCGGUUAUAUAAGACAGAUGUGAAAUCCCCGGGCUCAACCUGGGACCUGCAUUUGUGACUGUAUAGCUAGAGUACGGUAGAGGGGAUGGAAUUCCGCGUGUAGCAGUGAAAUGCGUAGAUAUGCGGAGGAACACCGAUGGCGAAGGCAAUCCCCUGGACCUGUACUGACGCUCAUGCACGAAAGCGUGGGGAGCAAACAGGAUUAGAUACCCGAGUAGUCCCUGUCUCUUAUACC